rnacentral:rRNA from 1 species
GAUGAACGCUAGCGGCAGGCCUAACACAUGCAAGUCGAGGGAGGAGCUUUCGGGCUUCGACCGGCGUACGGGUGCGUAACGCGUAUACAAUCUGCCCUUCACAUAGGGAUAGCCCGAAGAAAUUUGGAUUAAUACCUAAUGGUAUAUAGAGGUGGCAUCACCUUUAUAUUAAAGCUGAGGCGGUGAAAGAUGAGUAUGCGUUCUAUUAGCUAGUUGGAGAGGUAACGGCUCCCCAAGGCGACGAUAGAUAGGGGUUCUGAGAGGGAUAUCCCCCACACUGGUACUGAGAUACGGACCAGACUCCUACGGGAGGCAGCAGUGAGGAAUAUUGGACAAUGGUCGGAAGACUGAUCCAGCCAUGCCGCGUGCAGGAAGACGGCCUUAUGGGUUGUAAACUGCUUUUGCAGGGGAAGAAUAAGGACUACGCGUAGUUUGAUGACGGUACUCUGCGAAUAAGCAUCGGCUAACUCCGUG